rnacentral:tRNA from 1 species
GCCCCCAUCGUCUAGUGGCCAAGGACAGGUGGUUCUCAGCCAUCAGACACGGGUUCGAAUCCCGUUGGGGGUA